UAGUGUUGUAGGCAUUUAUUAUAUUUCUUGUAACACAUCAUAAUCUCCAAAGGCCUAAAGAUUUACCCAUAUUUCAGAUAGAAAAAUUAUAAAAAUCUUUUGUUCAGUGACUCUGUAUGUGUGAUAAUAAUUAUUAACAAUGAAGAAAUGUGAGUUGUGCAGUUCCAUAGCAAGAGUUUAUUGUGAAUCAGAUCAAGCCAGUCUUUGUUGGGAUUGUGAUGCCAGAGUUCACACAGCCAAUUUCCUUGUAGCUAAACAUUCAAGGAUUCUACUCUGUAAUUCUUGUCAAUCACUUACCCCAUGGACUGGCUCUGGCUCUAAGCUUGGUCCCACUGUUUCUGUUUGCCAGAAAUGUUUUCACAGAAAUAAUAAUGAUGGCGCAGAUCAACAUCUUAAUGAUACGGAAGAAGAAGAUGAUGAUGAUGAGGCCGACGAAGACGAAGAUGAUGGAAGCAGUGAUGGUGAUAAUCAAGUUGUUCCUUUAUCUUCUUCAACUUCAGAUCAACCUAAUCCUCCCUCAUUGACUUCAAGCUCUUCUAGUAGUGAAGAUUCCACUAACAAAUUUAACAGAAGAAGUGUAAUUGGAUUUUCACCUAACAGAACAGAGGAAAAUACCCAAUCCCAUUAUUGUGGCAUUACAAGACCUGAAGAGAAGAUAGAAAGGAGUUCAUGGAGAUGGAGAUAAUCGGGAUAUUUACAGGUGAUGAGAAGAAAUUAAAUAAGAGGGGUAGCUCGAACGGGUGGAAGAUUUAGUGACAAGCUGACAGCUAACUAUAUUUUAUUAAGAUUAAGCAUAUACUCAAGGAUAAUGGGAUUGUAAUAUUUUAAUUAGCAUGCGAGACCUUAAUCAUGAUGCUUUUUAUUAAUCUAUAAUCUAUAGUUCGAUCUACACCAUUAAAGUAUAGUAUAAUAAUGAGAUUAAUUAACAGACUCGGGCCAAUUAGAAGCAAAGUUUUCUACAUGGCCACGUGCAUAACAGUAACACAAACCCUAUUAAUAAAAUUAAUUGCAAUUUGCAAUCAAAUACACGACACAUCGCCACAAGCCCGUAAACAAAGUAGUAAUUUAAUUGCAAUUUGUCAAGUUGUCUAAUGUUUAUAUUUGAUAUUUAAGUUUCACACAUGCGUACUUAUAAUAUAAAGAACUUUAUAAUGCAUGCAUGUUAAAUGAUGCAUCACUUAUAAUAAGGUUUAAAUUAUUAAUUCACACGUACCAUCAACAGUACAAUACAAAAUUACUCAUAAAAACAAAAAAAUUUAAAAGCUAAACAUAUAUACUAACUUGGUUAUAAGUGGUUAACACUCAAUAUAAUUAAGGAAUCUAGUCUAGAAAUAAAGGAAGUAACUUUAAUUUGUGUGGUGGUAACACAUUGCGUGAAGAAGAAAAUUGUAGUACACUAUUUUUUGAGAUAUGUGUGGACAUGGAGUCAUUAUAUUCAAAAUGGUAUCCACCAUAACCUUGUGAUAAAAUGAUAUUUUAUUUUUGUCCUUCAUCUAUAGCUUUUGGUAGGUCCUUUACAUUGAAAAUAUCUUCGGAUUCUGCUUCACCUGAAAGAUCUGAUUUGUGUGUUUCACAACCAUAAAGACAAUGAUUCCUCAAAAAAAAAAAUUCCCCUUUCCUUCCUUGAAUCAUAGCCACACAAUUAAGCCCUCUUGAUUUUUUUUUCUUUGCUUUUAACAAAAUGGGCUCAACUCCAAAGACUUAAUUCCUAACUAGAUGACGAUUGUUUAAAUUUGGCUUAAGUCAUCUGCAGCCACUCAAAGUUGUCCGCAUAAUUCAUUUAGACACCUAAACUAAUCCUUGUGCCAAUUGAAUACUUUAUUUGUUCAAAAGUCAUUCCUAUUAGACACAAAAUGCUGACAUGGCUAAAAACGUGUAAUUCACUUUCUUUGAGCGCGUGAAUUUAUUAAAAAUAAUAUUUUUCCUUUUUUUUCUUAAUUUAUCCCCUAAGUUAAUUUUAAAAAAAAAUAAUUAACAAAAAAGAAGAAGGAUAGUUGUCUUCUUCCCUCUUUCUAUCAUAUCAUUCUUUCACCAUUUUUAUCUCUUUUUUUUUACACAGAACACCACACUCCCUCCACCUCUCUUUCUCUCACCCUCAUUGUUCUUUCCUGCUUUCCUCUUUUUUCUUAUAUCGAUUUUCGUCUCAAAUAUCUCGAAGAAGUUUCAUUUACAAUGAUAAAAAAAAUAUGAAUAGAUUUUUUUGGGCAAAAAACUGUUAAUUUUUUUUCAAUUCUAAUAAAUAAUUUCUAAUGUAUAAAAGAUGAAGACAAUGAGUGAAAAUUUUAAUGUUAUCGAAAUGAAAGAGAAUGCAUAUUUAGCUUGAAUAGACAACAAUGGUGUGUCAUUGUAGCUCCAUUGAAGAGAAGAAAGAGAUGGAGCGACACCAACUCCAUGGAAAAUCAGAAAUGGGUUUCUGAAGAAGGAGGAAGAAAGUAGGGAGGGUGGAGGCUUUAAUUAAAAAUAUUUUUUUUUUAAUUUUUUAAAAUACUUUAUGAAUUAAUUAUAUAGAGGUUUUAAAAAAAUUAAAUGUAAUGCCACGUGUCAUCAUAUUAUUGGUAAAAUUAAUAAGAAUUCGCGUUUGAAAUACACGCGUUUUUGA